rnacentral:rRNA from 1 species
CCUACGGUGGGCAGCAGUGGGGGAUAUUGGACAAUGGGGGGAACCCUGAUCCAGCGACGCCGCGUGAGUGAAGAAGUAUUUCGGUAUGUAAAGCCCUGUCAGCAGGGGAGAAAGAAAUGCCGGUACCUGACCAAGAAGCCCCGGCUAACUACGUGCCAGCAGCCGCGGUAAUACGUAGGGGGCAAGCGUUAUCCGGAAUUACUGGGUGUAAAGGGAGCGUAGACGUUUAAGUAAGUCUGGGGUUAAAGGCGGGGGCCCAACCCCGGGACUGCUCUGGAAACUAUUGAACUUGAGUGCAGGAGAGGUAAGCGGAAUGCCUGGGGUAGCGGUGAAAUGCGUAGAUAUUAGGAGGAACACCAGUGGCGAAGGCGGCUUACUGGACUGUAACUGACGUUGAGGCUCGAAAGCGUGGGGAGCAAACAGGAUUAGAUACCCUUGUAGUC